UCUUAUGAAUAAGUAAAGAAAGUGGUUUCUUUAGCUGGAAUCUACUCCUGGUGAAGAUGCUGUGAA
rnacentral:pre_miRNA from 3 species